rnacentral:rRNA from 1 species
CAGUAGCCGCGGUAAUACGUAGGUCCCGAGCGUUGUCUGGAUUUAUUGGGCGUAAAGCGAGCGCAGGCGGUUAGAAAAGUCUGAGGUGAAAGGCAGUGGCUCAACCAUUGUAGGCUUUGGAGACUGUUUAACUUGAGUGCAGAAGGGGAGAGUGGAAUUCCAUGUGUAGCGGUGAAAUGCGUAGAUAUAUGGAGGAACACCGGUGGCGAAAGCGGCUCUCUGGUCUGUAACUGACGCUGAGGCUCGAAAGCGUGGGGAGCGAACAGGAUUAGAUACCCCAGUAGUCCCUGUCUCUUAUACA